AUGGGAAGAGCGGCGGAAUGGAGGACCGCUACCGGGUGCAGAGAGCCGGGAAGGAACCUUGGGGUGCGGGAGCCGGAGCGUCCGGGAUUCGGCCCAACAGCAGUUUGCCCGGUGGGGGCAGAAUACUCGCGCUCCCGGGAAGGGGAUGUCUCCCGGGGGCGGUUACACAGCGAGGCUUGUUUGGCUCGCAGCAGGGCGCUCCCGGGGGAGCGGUUGUGCAGUGGAGGACGCCUGGGAGGCGCGCAGCGAGCAGGAUGCUCCCUGGCCCAGGCCGGCGCGUGUACGUGUGUGUGCACGGUACAGGGCGUGUGCACGGCGCGGGCGGGACGCGCGCCAGUGCGGCCGCCGAGCUCCGCUGCAAUACAAGGCCAGCGCCGCCGAGUGAAAAUACCGCGCAAAACCCUGGCUAGAGAGCCGCGGGGGGCCGGCUGGGGGAACCAAGCGGACGCGCACGGCCGGGCCCUCACCUCACGGCUGAGCGUUCUAAUGCGAAGUUGCAGCACCCUCAGACGAGGAAGGAAGCUGCGUGAGUUUCCACGCACCCCAAGAAGACCGCGAGCCCCAGGGACUCGCACGCGCCCGCGCCCGACGACACGGAGCGCGUACCCGCUCGUACCCUGGCGCGCUCCCCGCGCGGUCUGUGGAAAGACAGCUCGGGCGGGUAUUAAGGGGAGGGGGAGGAGGGGGUGUGGUUUGGCUGGAACUAGCCAAUGGGCCGGGGAGGGGCGCGCGGGGGCGGAGCUCAUGUUCAGAGCGCCGAUUGGCCAGUUGGCCCUCCGGUAUGCAGAUACGGUGGAGUCACGUGCCAGGGGCCGGGACGACUUCCUGUUGGAGGCCAAGGCGGGGCGGGGAAGGGGGCGCGAGCGCCCCGUCUGGCUGAAGCGGGGGGAGGGGGGGUUCUUGUCAGUUAGAGCAACAAGAUGGCCGCGGUGGCAGCUCCGCACCUCAGCGCGACGGCCCCGGGAGCCGCAGCCGCCGCCGCCGGCCCCGCUGCCCCGCAGCCCUGAGCGUCGCCCCGGCCGCCCCCACCGCCGCUGA
rnacentral:lncRNA from 1 species